UUUAAAUCGUUGAUAGGAAAUAGUAGUAAAGAAGGCUUGCUAAAGAGAGUCGAUGGCCGGUGAGAAUCGAUGCAGGAGCUUUACGAAUCCAUCCUUGAGUGAAGUACUGAAUGAAGUAGGUAUUUUCGGUGAUUCCGUUACCAUCUCUUAAGAGGAAGAUGCGAGAGCGUCUUCAAUUAGGGUGGCAACGCGGAAACCUCCGUCCCUUUU
rnacentral:ncRNA from 1 species